rnacentral:rRNA from 1 species
GAUGAACGCUGGCGGCGUGCUUAACACAUGCAAGUCGAACGAUGAAGAAGAGAAACGCGAACUUCGGUUCAAAUUUCACUUCGGAUAAGUGGCAGACGGGUGAGUAACGCGUGAGCAACCUACCUCUUACAAAGGGAUAGCCUCGGGAAACCGUGAUUAAUACCAUAUGACACAUUCAUAAGACAUCUUAAGAGUGUUAACGCAACGGCGGUAAGGGAUGGGCUCGCGUCCCAUUAACUAGUUGGUGAGGUAACGACACACCAAGGCGACGAUGGGUAACCGGGCAGUGAGAGUGAGCGGAGACAUUUAAACUAGGACACGGUCCGGACUCCUACGGGAUGGAGCAGAGCGUAAUAGAGCACAAUGGAGUGAACGCUGAUGCUGCGAGGCCGGGAGAGCGAUGAAGGUAUGCGUUACGUAAAGCGCUGUUAUAUGGGAAGGAAAUGACGGUACCAUAGGAGAAAGCCCCGGCUAAAUACGUG